rnacentral:rRNA from 1 species
GUAGUCUCGCACAGAUGCAUAUCAAUAAGCGGAGGAAAAGAAACUAACAAGGAUUCCCUUAGUAACGGCGAGUGAAGCGGGAAGAGCUCAAAUUUGAAAUCUUCAAGGUUUUACCUUGACGAAUUGUAGUUUAAAGAAGUGUUUUCUGUUGAAGUUUUGGUAAAAGUUCUUUGGAAUAGGACAUCAUAGAGGGUGAGAAUCCCGUAUUUGACCAUUAUUUUCAGCUGUGUGAUACACUUUCAAAGAGUCGGAUUGUUUGGGAAUGCAGUCCAAAAUGGGUGGUAAAUUUCAUCUAAAGCUAAAUAUUGGCGAGAGACCGAUAGCGAACAAGUACCGUGAGGGAAAGAUGAAAAGAACUUUGAAAAGAGAGUUAAACAGUAUGUGAAAUUGUCAAAAGGGAAGCGUUUGACACCAGUGUUGUUUUCUCGAAAAUCAAUUAAAAAGAGUUUGAUUUUGUUGUGUAUUGACCUUAACAGCUUGCAUUUCAAUUUUCUUGCUUUUUUUAAUGCACUUUUCGUUUAACAAGUCAACAUCAGUUUCUUUUGUUGUAAAAAGGUCAUUGGAAGGUGGCUUUCUUUUCGGAGAAAGUGUUUAUAGCCUUUGACUCCUGCAAUCGGAGAGACUGAGGUCUGCAGCGUAGAUCCUUCGGGGUUAGAUACAUUUGUGCUAAGUUAUAGCUUUUUAUAGACAACUUGUUGACUAUGAUUAGUCUUGUAGCUUACUCGCUUAUGCUAUUUUACCUACGCUUAGGAUGUUGAGCGCAUGUCUCUCUCU